rfam:Epulopiscium sp. SCG-B11WGA-EpuloA1 SCGB11WGA_5, whole genome shotgun sequence.
AAGAACUAAUAAUUUGAUAAGUCAAAUGAGAGAGUAACGUCUCGAAGGGCUUACUCUAAUACUCCGAAUAGCGUUUAUAAAUUAAGAUAUAAAGGUUAUAAGCUCGGUGAAGGCGGCUGAGAAUACACCCUAAAUUUACAAUAGUAAACAGGAAAUGUGAACCAGAGGUGGUCAAGUGUGUGAUAGGCCGGGAGUCUAUAAA